rnacentral:rRNA from 1 species
UACGUAGGGGGCAAGCGUUGUCCGGAUUUAUUGGGCGUAAAGAGCGUGUAGGCGGCCUGACAGGUCUGCUGUGAAAACUCGAGGCUCAACCUCGAGAUGUCGGCGGAAACCGUCUGGCUAGAGUCCGGAAGAGGAGAGUGGAAUUCCUGGUGUAGCGGUGAAAUGCGCAGAUAUCAGGAAGAACACCUAUGGCGAAGGCAGCUCUCUGGGACGGUACUGACGCUGAGACGCGAAAGCGUGGGGAGCGAACAGGG